UUUUUUAGGAACAAGACAUACCUCCUCCAUCUUUUUCUGGUAUAUAGCUCCCAGUCACAUGUGCUGCAAUCUUAGGCCGAGGGGAAUCAUCUUGAUCUUGGAUCACCAAAGAGGGAAGUACACGUGAGACUUCGUCUGUUAAAAGCCAUAAGAAAGAAACAUCUGAAGUGAAAAGUCUCUGUUUGAGUUCCACUGAAGACAGAUGGAUGUAAAACAACAUGAGGCCGAGGAAACUGUGAAGACGGAAAGGGGUGUAGACUUGGAAGAACAUGAGGAAAAAUGGGAGGCCUGGCUUCGUGCAAGCAACUACCCUUUAAUUCAGGAAGCAAUGAACAAUGUGAAAGAUAACAUUCCUCCAAGCGCUAGGUGCCAUUUAUAAUCUACAUGGGAUUUGAGACGUUGGCAUGAAAAACUCUUCCUGAAGGCAAAUCAUGCAAAGUUUGAAAAUGUGUAUCGGGUUAUGUAGCUGCUGGGAACAGGAACUGCCUCGCACUUUGCCACCUAGCUUCUUGAGAUCAAGUUUGCCCGUGUGACAUGAGCUGUCACACUCUUGAGUAGGUUCACAUAAAAACAUUUUUCAGUUUCUCUGUCAAUGCACGAAUGAUAACAGGUUAUUCCGGUCAGCAGGAUAAUCUCAGUUCGGCCUGCAGGCUAACGCUGCCUGUGCUCACUUAAAGAGUUAGCAAUUCACCCUUCUGUCACAGUCACAAUAAAAAAAAUGUUUGGAAAGCAAAAACAGAACUAACUUCUUGAAGACUCUUCAAAGGAAGUCAACAAACACUGGAUCAAAUAAGAGGUUUUCAUAAAUGCGUCAGAGACAUAGACAAAGUUUGUUUCAAGUUCUUCUGAGUUCAUUUGUUCUGUUUUGUAUUUUGUGAUUUCAGGGGAAAAAACACACCCAGAUAUGUUUAUAGCUUAGUCGUUGCUCUUUUAUACCGCAAUAAAAUGUAAUAUAAUCAAUAUAAUUACUUCUCAUUUCAGUAAGUAAUCAGCGCAACAUUAGGUGCAAGGUAUACAUUUAUCAGUUUGUCAUCUUAGUACCUUAGCAUUGCUAUAGCACAAUAUUGUGUUUAUAAAAUGUAUAUAAAAGUUAAUAAUAGUAAACAUUUUAAAUUAUGCUGAGACAAAAGUAAAUGAAAACGCAAAAUUUAAAUGACAUUAAUAAAAUGACUGUGGAUAGUAUGGCUCUGAUAAGUUUAGUGCAAAUUUUAUAAAACAUAAAUAUAUACAAUAUAAAUAAUACAAAUAUAUAUAUUUUUGACAUAACGUUCUUAAAAUAUAUUUAAUAUUAUAAAGAAAAGUCAUGUGGAUAAUACAGCUGGUCUAUGACUUAAUUAGUAAGAAAUGUUCAUAUUGUUCAUAUUAAAAUCCCUGAUGUUUUUUUGGAAGAUAUUAGAGUUUUGUGCUGGAGAACAGUGAGAUCUUUUACGAAAGCAAGUCAUUGUCAGCGGUUUAUUUUGUAGCCAAGAAAUCACAUAACCAAGAUGAUUUCCCAAACAAUUGCUAUAUUUUAACACAGCAUCAAAAGAAACAUGAUUCCAGCCUUCACUGACUCACAUACUCAUCAUACCUGAAAGAAGAUAGUAGUAUCAUUUUGGAAACUGGCAUGCAAUGUGGUUACAAAACAAUAAGAGCUAGAAAAGAGGACAUAAAUGAGGGUGUAUUACAAAGAUCUGUUCAUUUCUUUAUGCUUUUUCCUGAGAAUAAUGGUAGUUUAUGUAAAACAUCUAGAGAAACUGAUUAUUGUCCCCCCACUUCCAGUUAGAUAAUAAAAGAUGCAAUAAAAGCGAAGUUCUCACAGGUGAGAAAAACAGCAAGAGCCGCAUUCCGCCGCACUCAUCUGCUCCCCCCGGCGCUUCCCAUGCGCUAACAGUGACAGAUAGCUUCACUCAAAUACUCCCUUCCAGCUCGUGUUUCACUAAACCACCACUCCGCUAGGUUUUUAGGAAAUUCCCUUUUGUUAAAAAUGCUGACUGCCAGCAGCACAGAAACUGCCAAAGAAGUUGCAAUUCCAAGUCAAGAGUUCGAACAUUUUCCCAGCAGUGUUGUAUUUUAACAGGCGUAAGUUAUAUGUAAACAUGAUGAUACGCUCUGAGAAAAGAUUUUAUGACAUAAACAUAUUUUUAUGAACAUGUGCUAUCCAUCUAAAAUGAUAUCUGUCCCUGAAAGCUCUGUCAUGCCAAAAA